UAUGUUGUAUGAUUGCCUAAUAAAAACUGAUCAUGUAGACAUUAGACUUUAAAAUUGAACCUGAUAUGAAAAUUAUAGUUGUAAUAAUUGGAAGAAAAAGAUUAAUAAAUAAUAAUAAUAAUAAUAAUAAAUAAAUAAAUAAAUAUUAUAAAAAAAGGAGAAAAAGGAAAAAUUUUCCCCUUUUUCCCUCUCCCUUUCCCUUCCCUCUCUUUCCUUCCUUCCUCUUCUUCUUUUCUUCCUUCCGUCCCCGACAGCCUCCCCUCUCCCUCCUUCCACCUGCGCCGAGCUGUUGCCGCCGCCAGCUUCUCCUCCUUCCCCUCCUCGCCGCCACGCCACGCCACCUCCCCUUCCUCCUUUCUUCCGCUAUCGACGUCGACUGAAGGAAGAAAGGGGCUGCUGUCGUCGAAUCGGCUGCCUGCCGACGUCCAACCGCUCGUCCGACGCCGGAAUCGAGCUCCCUGCAACCGGGAAUCCCUGCGGCAAACUUCCUAGCCGUGAAAUCCUCGCCGGCAGCCUCAGUCAAGCCUCAACGGAGCAGCUCCUUUCCCGCAUCGAUCCGGUGCCUUCCGGCGAGUAUCCGGCCAAAACUCUUGUGUUUUCGGACUCCCCGCAACUCAAACUUCGCCUAGGCGCUUUCAAAUUCAAAUUCCGACACCGUUGGCAGUACCGGCUUUCGGACUCAGGUGUUUUCCGGACGUGCAUAAUUUUUAAUUUUCGGAUCGAUUCGAAAAAAACAAUAUAGUUUUGGUGGCCCAACUCCCGUUAGAUAAUUGCAUAAUAUUUGAAGUGUUUCUAGCAGGUAUGAACCCGUUAUACGGGAGGUAAAUGUCUAUAUUUUAGAGGAGGUUCUACCGAAUUUUCGGUAGAAUUUCCGAGUUUGAAUUCUUUUAGGCAGUCUAAUCUAGGGGUCUAGGCCUAAGAAAAAUUAAGAAUAUCUUAUUAACUGAGAAUUUUCAUCCAGCCAGCCCCACCCGAGACGUAGGAGAAAACUGGAGAGGCGUUAGAAUUAUGAAGUUAGGGUUCUCCGCCAUCUUGCGCUUGACAGCCCGACUUCCUUCUGCAUCGGGCCUAUUCCCCUGCUAUGCCAAGGACUCAAGCGGCUGCAGUAGCAAUAGUGGUCCAAAAGGGCCAAGAUGGGGUUUCCACUCAGUCGACCCCACCAGCCCCAGCCGGUGAUACUAGGAGGGGAGGUAGGCCUCGAGCAGCAGCCCAACCGGAUCAGGGCGAGGCUCAGGAGACACAGGAUACUGGUAGAGUCCCAAUAGAAGCUUUCGUAGCCGGUAUAAUUGGGAUGUAGAGGGCUUUAGAACAAUUGUUGGCUUUUCAGCAGCAUCAGGCUGUCUAGGAUUUAGGGAGCUGCUGUAGUGGGUUCGGUAUUAGGAAUCCGGACGAGGUUCCCAUGUCGGUGUAUACCAAAUUGAGACCCAUGGAGUUUGAUGGGACAUCUGGGGAUCCGUUGGACUUCCUGGAUGAGGUUGAGAAAAGAGCAUCAGAUUUGUACUGUUUUGAUAAGAGAACCAUCGAGAUGGUCGAUUUUUCGUUGAAGGGAAUAACAUCUCAGUGGUACAGAGACUAUAUCCGCCCCUUCUUGGAUGGGUUAUCGUGGAGGCAGUUCAGGGACAGGUUUGACGAGUACUUUAUUCUUUUUAGCGUAAGGCAGGAGUACAAAGAGAGAGAGUUGAGAGACUGGUUAAGGGAGGCCUAUUAGUGGCAGAUUACAAUAGACAGUUUGUGCAGCUGAGUAGGUAUACGUCAUAUGAUGUAGGGACUGAAGAGCAGAAGAACAGCUACUAUAUAUCA